GGCAGGGUGGCUUAGUGGUUAGCACAAUUCCCAACAUCUCUGGGGUUGGGGGUUCGAUUCCCGCCUCUGUCC